GUUGGCCUUGGCGGGCAGCGUGGGCAUGGCUGCGAGCUGUGCCAGUACCGUUCGGGCGGUGGGGCCGUCG
rnacentral:tRNA from 1 species